rnacentral:lncRNA from 1 species
AAGAAAAACACCCAAACACCAUCUACACCCCUCACCCAUAAACCCCAAACCAGACAACAAACUAGGGACCCUAACAAUUUGGUAUCAGAGCCAGUUGUUAUGGGUGAAUCAGUUCAGGAACAGCUUUCAAAGCUCUUUGAGUUACUUCUAGCUGAACAGCAAGCUAACAAAGAUCGCAAUGAUCAGAUGGCUCAAGUUCACGCUAAACUGGCUGCCAUGUCUGCUGAAUUAGACGCAACAAAGCAGGGGUUACAUUCUGCCAGUGCAGAGAGUCAAGCUAAAUCACGGAGAGAUAAGGGAAUUUCAGGUACUUCGACUUCUGAACAGUCGGGAGGAAGUUCGUUUGUGCCUAAAUUCACGAAGCUUGAUUUCCCGCGCUAUGAUGGCCUGGAGGAUCCUUUGGGCUGGCUUAGCCGUUGUCAGCAUUUCUUCCGUCAUCAACAAACCCCUGAUGAGGAGAAGGUGAGCCUUGCUUCCUAUCACUUAGAGGGCAUUGCUCAAUUAUGGUACCUCCAGUUGCUGGAUGAUUUUCCAGACCCCAACUGGGAUGAGUUCAGUCAACAAUGUAACCUCCGUUUCGGCCCUCCAAUUCGCAGCAAUAAAUUAGGCGAGUUGGCUAAGCUUCGUCAAACAGGAACUGUGGCAGAUUACCAGAAUCAAUUUGAAGUAUUGGUAUCUCGCGCAGGUACUUUAACACAGCAGCAGAAGGUUCAAUUAUAUCUCAGCGGAUUACAAGAUUCUAUCUCAGUAGAAGUCGAACUACAUCAGCCCAAGGAUCUAGUAACCGCGAUGAGUAUUUCUCGGCUGUAUGAACGCAAGCUGUUCCCCCGUUCAGCAGCAGUGAAAGACCUUCGUCGCAACACAUUUCCAUCUGAUUUCCGUUCCAAUCGGUCAGUUAAACGGGUGUCUAGAGACGAGAUGGAUGAGCGCCGGAAAAAGGGCCUGUGUUUUAACUGUGAUGAGCAAUUUGUUCGCGGCCAUCAAUGUAAGAAGCUUUUCUGGAUUGAUUUGGAAGAACCAGAUGAGAAUGGUGAUACUUUCCCAGACCUCAAUCUAAAUCAGCCAGAAAUAUCUUUGCACGCCAUCACUGGUGUUCGAGGGCCCCAGUCCAUGCAAUUGUAUGGCAGCUGGAAAGGUGGUCGGGUUCUAAUUCUUAUCGACUCCGGCAGCACCCAUAGUUUCGUAUCUGCAUCAAAAGUUGAAGAGUUACAUGCCGAGGUUAAUGAAAGGAAUGGCUUAAAGGUUCACGUUGCAAACGGCGACCAACUUACCAGUCCAGGAAUCUGUAAGGACACCCCGAUUCUACUCGAAUCAAACUCCUUUAUGGUUGAUCUGUUUGUUCUUCCUCUAACUGAUUUUGAUGUCGUCCUGGGAGUAAACUGGCUAUGCACUUUGGGACCCAUUUUAUGGGAUUUUUCAGUCAUGAGUAUGAGUUUCUUCCAACAGGGGCAUCGGGUUGACCUUCAGGGGCUGACUUCUUCAUUUAAUACAACAAGGUCAGAUCUGCACAGUUUGCUCGGUUCCACCGCUUCUGAUAUACAAAUGCAGCAAUUAUUGGCAGAAUUUGCUCCUCUAUUCAAUGCUCCAACAGGGUUGCCACCUAGUAGAGCGUGUGACCACCGUAUUCCUCUUGAGCCAGGAGCAAAACCAGUGGUGGUCCGGCCCUACCGUUAUCCGCAUGGCCAAAAAGAUGAGAUUGAACAGCAGUGUGCAGCCAUGUUGAAACAGGGUAUAAUUCGGCCAAGCAGAUCUCCAUUCUCCUCCCCAGUGAUCUUGGUUCCAAAAGCAGAUGGGUCUUGGCGAUUAUGCGUCGACUACAGGGAAUUAAAUGCAAUANNNNN